UACGUAGGUGGCAAGCGUUGUCCGGAUUUAUUGGGUUUAAAGGGUGCGUAGGCGGCUUUGUAAGUCAGUGGUGAAAUACGGCAGCUCAACUGUCGAGGUGCCAUUGAUACUGCAGAGCUAGAGUACUGAUGAGGUAGGCGGAAUGGACGGUGUAGCGGUGAAAUGCUUAGAUAUCCGGAGGAACACCGGUGGCGAAGGCGGCUUCCUGGACCGACACUGACGCUGAGGCGCGAAAGCUAGGGGAGCAAACGGG
rnacentral:rRNA from 1 species